UACGGGGGGUGCGAGCGUUGUCCGGAAUCACUGGGCGUAAAGGGCGCGUAGGUGGCCUGAUAAGGGUGUGGUGAAAGUCCGGGGCUCAACCCCGGAUCUGCCGUGCCGACUGUUGGGCUGGAGUACUGUAGGGGCAGGUGGAAUUCCGGGUGUAGCGGUGGAAUGCGUAGAGAUCCGGAGGAAGACCGGUGGCGAAGGCGGCCUGCUGGGCAGUUACUGACACUGAGGCGCGACAGCGUGGGGAGCAAACGGG
rnacentral:rRNA from 1 species